rnacentral:rRNA from 1 species
AUGCAUCGUCUCUUCAGCAUGAGCGACCUUAGGCUGCUUCGGUACUACCUUGGGCUGGAGGUGAACCAGGAGGGUGGUCGCAUCACAAUCACGCAGACGGCCUACGCUACCAAGAUGCUUGAGCGAGCAGGCAUGAAGGACUGCCAUGCCGUGCACGCUCCAAUGGAGGCACGACUGAAGCUCAGCAAGGAGAGCUCCGAGAAGACGGUAGAUGCUACGCUCUACCGUAGCAUCAUCGGGAGUCUCAGGUACCUCAUGCUCACUCGACCGGACAUCACGUUUGUUGUCGGGUUCCUGAGUAGGUUCAUGGAAGCUCCGGCAAGCGAUCACCUGGCUGCCGUCAAGCACCUGCUCUGGUACAUCGCGGGUACGCUCACGCAGGUAUGCGUGUAUCGUCGUGGCGACGGUGAGAGAUUGGUCGGGUACAGCGACUCCGACCACGCUGGUGACGUGGACUCCCGGAAGAGCACCUCGGGCAUACUAUUCCUUCUCAGAAAUAGUCCCGUCAGCUGGCAAUCGGUGAGGCAGAAGGUUGUCGCCGUAUCUUCGUGCGAGGCGGAGUACAUCGCGGCAGCUACAGCGGCCUGUCAAGGCAUUUGGCUUGCUCGCCUUCUCGGCGAGAUGCUGAAUCAGGAUACCGCCCCUGCGCUCAUCUUCGUCGACAACAAGUCAGCGAUUUCCCUCUGCAAGAAUCCAGUGCUUCACGACCGCAGCAAGCACAUCGAUCUCCGCUAUCACUUCAUACGUGACUGCGUCCAAAAAGGCACGAUGAUAGUGGAGUUCAUCCGGACUGGUGAGCAGAAGGCGGACAUCCUAACCAAGUCAGUUGGUCGUGUCCGGUUCCAGGAGCUGCGCGACAAGGUCGGGAUCAUCGACACCAAGCUCCUUCGACAAGGUUGA